UGUUGUGAUUGUACCUUAAUUGCAAUCCGGCCCAUGAGGUUGGUAUUGUUGUAUCACGCUGGCCCAUGAGGUGGAGGCGGCGGCGGAGGUCUGGAGUUUUGGUAGAAUCGAGGAGGGGAGGCAAGGAAGGGUCUGGCGUCUCCUCGUAGGCAGACGAGGGCGGGAUCAAGUAGGGAAAAGAGGGAGAUGAGUGAUGAGAAAUGCAGCAGAGCAACAAGCAGCAAACAACAAUUCCAACUCUGUUCUUUCAUAGUUGUAAAAAGUAGUCGUUUUUAUUUACGUUAGUGGGUGUUACGUUUUUUAUUUGUAUUGCACGCGGAGGAGCUAACAUGUCCAAGCGAUUAGAGUAUGUUAGACAUUAGUUGGUAUGUUUCUUCUUCUUCCCGCCUAAUGCUUGCUACUCAAGAACCAUAAGCUCCAGUUUCCAAUAAUAAGAAAAUGAGCAGAUUUAAUCCCAAGUUCAAGCUAUGCGUUCCUCUUCUAUUUUCAUGUAUUCCAUCUCUGAUUUCUAUAUGGUAUCAGAGCCAUUAUCUUGGUGGUCUCUGCAUAUUUUGUAGUUGAUUGAUUUGUGUAUAAUUAUGCCUCUGAAACACAUUUUUGUAAUGGCCAAUUCGUCAAAUGUUGUGCCAGAGGUUACAACUGGCAAUAUUGGAUCUAGAAAUGAGAGUAUGAAAACAAGUGUUAGAUCACCAAAGGAUGGUGAUGAUUUCUGUUCCACUGAAUGGGAGCAACUGGUUAUCUUGGAGUAGAUUAGUGCAUAUUGCACUGGAUGGACGGGAUAAACUUGGAUUUAUUGAUGGAUCGUGUGCUAAAGGGUUCCACGGAGCUUCCACAAUGGUGAAUCACUGAUUCGAUGGUUAGGACCUGAAUAUUGAACACAAUAUCCAAGGAUAUUGUGAAUGCAUGCUUAUAUGCAUCCUCGGCGAUCUCUGUGGCUGGAGUUGAAGGCACGCUAUGGCGAGUGUGAUUGACCGUUACUGUAUAAAAUCCAGUGUCAAAUUAGCUCCAUGUCUCAAGGCGAUUUGAGUGUUACUGUGUAUUACACAAAUCUGAAGCAACUUUGGGAUGAGUACAUGUGGUAAAUUUACAUGCGGAUGCAAUAAAGCAAAGGUCGAUCAAAUAGAGCCAGGACAGUUAAUUCAAUUUCUCAUGGGAUUAAAUGAAUUGUAUGACAAUAUUCGAAAUCGGAUUCUGGUAAUAGAUCCUCUCCUUCACAUGAAUAAGGCGUAUUCAAUGGUGUUAGAGUUAAAAGGCAAAGAGAGGUGAAUCUGGGAUUUGCAGAGACAAGAGACAGCUCUGCACUACAGGCAAGAGGUUAUGAGCAAAGAGGACAUACACGACCAAAAAACUAUAUGAGAAGAAAAGGUACUACAGACAAAAAGAGGGUUUGUGUGCUCAAAUUGUAACAAACUUGGGCAUUGUAAGGAAACUUGUUUUAGUAUCCAUAGGUUUCCUGAUUGGUACAAAGAUCUUAAUGACCAGAGGAGGAAAUCUGGGAAUGCAGGUAGAGCAAAUGUAGUGAAUGAGCAUGAUCAACAAUCUCUUUUGGCUAGUGCAAGUUCAGCAAGUCACAAUCUUGUUACAGAAGAUGGAAGCUUUAAAGAUUGUAUAGAAUAGAGUACCACAGGAACCUGUGAAAGUGCAUUUUGCACAGAUGGAGGAAAUGGAAGGUACGAUUUUGAACAAUACUGGUGGGAAACCUUGUUUUAUUGCUCGGAUUGUGGCCACCGGAGCCACAACUCACAUGUGUGUUGAUGCAAACAUAUUUCACUCACUCAUCUGCUUUCAUUCUUGCAUAAAUAUCCAUCUUCCUGAUAAUAGUAUUGCACAAGCUACACAUUUUAUGAAAUGAGACUUUUCCCCAACUUAAUCCUCACAAGUGUCCUUCUCGUUCCUAGUUUUUCAAACACAACCUCCUUUUUGUAACUCGGUUAUGUAAAGCUCAACCUAUCAGUUUUCUAUUUCUCACAUCUUUAUGCAUUUUGCAGAACCUGAAGACUAAACUUACUUUAGUAACAAAUAGAUAGGUUGGGUCUAUUUUUUGGACCAUGAUUCCUUUGUAUCGCUUAGCCCCAUUCAUCUUCGGUGUAAGAGUGCUCGAUCAGUGAGCUAUUAUGCACUCUUUCAAGGGUGAUUGUUUCUAGGCAAACCUCCUGGCUAUCUCUGCAUCCUUUUCAUUGAGCGAUCAUUUAGGGGCCUUAGCUGGUGAUCUGGGUUGUUUCCCUCUCAAUGAUUUGUCCCAUUGUCUCAGCAGCUUAAUAACCAUAUAGCUUGUUAUUCUUCUGACUUACAAUUGUAUUCACUGUGGCAUAAGCGGUUAGGUUAUAUUAGUCCACUUGUGCUAAGCCAUAUUCCUGUUUGAACAUCAAAGAAAGAAAUAAAGAGGGAGAUUCCUACUCUAUCUGUCCAUUAGCUAAGCAGUCCAGGAUGGCAUUUUCCUUAAGUAAAUCUCAUGCGCACUGUCCUUUUUAUCUAAUUCAUAUUGAUAUUUGGGGGCCCUAUAAACAACCCUCCUUAUCAGGAUGUCACUACGUUUUAACCAUUUUUUAUGAGCAUUAUGGAGUCACUUGGACCUUCCUUCUGUACCACAAAUCUCAAACACUCCAAAUUUUGUCUUCUUUCUUUGCAAAGAUUUUAACUCAGUUUACUGUAAAUAUCAAGCCAUACGUGCGGAUAAUGGGUCUGAAUUUCUUAGUCUUCCUUGCCAAGAACUGUUGUAGAAAAAUGGCAUUGUACACCAGAAAAGUUGGAUUUACACACCACAACAAAAUGGUGUUUUAGACCGAAAACACAAACAUUUGUUGCAAGCAGCAAGAGCUUCUUAUGUUUGAGUCUCAUUUGCCUAGACAUUUCUGGGUUGAUUCUAUUUCACAGCCACAAACAUUAUCAAUAAACUAUCAUCUCCUUCACUAAGUUGGAAGUCCCCUUUUGAGUUACUCUAUCAUACUCCUCCGACAUAUAAUACAUUAAGAACCUUUGGUUGCUUAUGUUUUGCUUCCAACACUGCCCUCCACAAAUCUAAGUUUGAUCAUAGGGCUUUUCAUUAUGUCUUCGUAGGUUAUGUUCAAAGUCAAAAGGCCUGCAAAGUGUAUGGUAUAGAUAACAAAACCACCAUUGUUUCUAAAAUGUGGUGUUUCAUGAAUUUAUUCUCCCUUAUAAAAACUCAGUUCUCUUCAGACUCUGCUUCUAUUCCUAUCUCUACUCCCAUCCUUGAUUCUACCUCUGAUCUUCCUCUGAAUCAAGUACUAUUCCCUCUACACUACAUGAGGAACACAAACUUUGUUCCUUCUCUAUUCCUGAUCAUCCUGAGGAACACAAUCCUUCUUCCCUCUCUGUUCCCGAUCAUCCUCAAUCAAUUCCUUCCCUUAGAAUGUCUCAUAAACAACCAAGACCACCUACUUGGUUAACUGACUUCGAAUGCAACUCCUCUUUUGAUAAUGCUAUUGAUUCAUCUACUCUUGCUUCAUCACACAAGAAUUUUUUGGUUGUUGCUAAAGGUACAACCAAAUUGAGGGAGUGGACUUACUGACAGGUUUUCACCUGUGGCUAAAGUUGUAACUAUGAGGACUUUGUUGGUUGUUGUUUCCAGCCAUGAUUGGCCCAUCCAUCAAGUGGACAUAAACAACGCUUUCCUUCAUGGCUUUCUCAACGAGGAUGUCUAUAUAACUGCUCCAGAUGGCUACCAGGUUCAGCCAAGGAAGGUAUGUAAGUUGAAGAGAUCUUUACACGGUCUGAAAUAAGCUUCCAGCCAGUGGAAACUAGAGCUCACCAACAAGAUUCAUGGCUAUGGUUUUUCUCAAUCGCCUCAUAAUCAUUGUCUGUUUGUACAAAAUAUUCCCACUAGUUUCCUUGCUCUCUUAGUAUAUGUGGAUGAUGUGUUAAUUACUAGUUCCGCACAAUCGCAAAUUGAUCAGGUGAAACAUUUCCUGGACUCAGCAUUCACCAUCAAAGAUCUUGGUUCUAUCAAGUAUUUUCUUGGCUUAGAAAGUGCCCGUUCAGUUGGAGUUACUUCAGCCACUCAACACAAAUAUAUUUGGGACACUGUUCAUGAUGUUGGUCUUGUCUCUUACAAGGCAGCAGCAACUCCUCUACCACCUGGCCUCAAGCUCACUUCUCAUAACAUUACUCCCUUAACUAAUCUAGAGCCUUCCAGUCAGCUAGUGGACCGCCUACUCUACUUGAGUUUUACUAGACCCGAUAUUUCUUUUGGAGCACAACAAUUAAGCCAAUUUGUCCAUAGACCUAUGCAGGUACACAUGGAUGCUGCUCUUCAUUUGAUGUGUUAUUUGAAGGGCUGCCUAGAUAAAGGAAAACUAAGAACCAGUUGCUCGAUCCACUGAGGAGGCUGAGAAUAGGAACCUUGGGACCGCAGUUUGUGAACUCCAAUGGAUAUCCUACUUGCUGCAAGAUUUUUCUGUAAUUGUUCCUACACCUAUCCCUGUUUUUUGUGACAACCAGGCUACUAUUCACAUUGUUGCUAAUCUUGUGUUUCAUGAGCGCACCAAGCACUUAAAGAUUGACUGUCAUUUCUUCCCACACACAUCUCUGGAAAGUCUCAAAUUGCGGACAUGUUCACUAAAUUUCUCCCUCGUGUUGUCUUCGGUUCUACUUUGUCCAAGCUGGGCUUGGUGUAUUCCCCCCAAGUCCAUUUUGAGGGGGGAUGAUCAGAAAUGUAGCAGAUCAGCAAGUAGCUGUAACAGAGCAACAAGCAGCAACUCCAACUCAGUUCUUAUGUAGUUGUAAAAAGUAGUCGCAUUUUUAGUUCAUAUUAGUGGGUGUUAUGUUUUUUAUUUAUACUGCCACGUAAGUGUUGACAUGUCCAA